rnacentral:rRNA from 1 species
UACGUAGGGGGCUAGCGUUGUCCGGAAUCAUUGGGCGUAAAGAGCGCGUAGGCGGCCAGAUAAGUCCGGUGUGAAAGUCACAGGCUCAACCUGUGAAUGCCGCUGGAAACUGUAUGGCUAGAGUCCGGAAGGGGCGAGUGGAAUUCCUGGUGUAGCGGUGAAAUGCGCAGAUAUCAGGAGGAACACCAAUGGCGAAGGCAGCUCGCUGGGACGGUACUGACGCCGAGGCGCGAAAGCGUGGGGAGCAAACAGG